UGGCGAACGGGUGAGUAACACGUGGGUGAUCUGCCCUGCACUGUGGGAUAAGCCUGGGAAACUGGGUCUAAUACCAUAUAGGACCGCAUCUUGGAUGGUGUGGUGGAAAGCUUUUGCGGUGUGGGAUGAGCCUGCGGCCUAUCAGCUUGUUGGUGGGGUAAUGGCCUACCAAGGCGGCGACGGGUAUCCGGCCUGAGAGGGUGUACGGACACAUUGGGACUGAGAUACGGCCCAGACUCCUACGGGAGGCAGCAGUGGGGAAUAUUGCACAAUGGGCGCAAGCCUGAUGCAGCGACGCCGCGUGGGGGAUGAAGGCCUUCGGGUUGUAAACUCCUUUCGCUAUCGACGAAGCCACUUGUGGUGACGGUAGGUAGAUAAGAAGCACCGGCUAACUACGUGCCAGCAGCCGCGGUAAUACGUAGGGUGCAAGCGUUGUCCGGAAUUACUGGGCGUA
rnacentral:rRNA from 1 species